UUGACAGGCCUCGGGAUGAAAUCCUCUCCAAACUGGUAUAGCAACGGAAGAAGCAUCACAAGUGUCCCCAUUUUCCCACUAAGUGCCUUAACCCUGUGCUAGAGGGACCCGCUCUAAUGGGCAGAGAGGUGUUCAAUCUCCAUGGCCCAUGCACUCCUUGGCCUCC
rnacentral:sRNA from 1 species